CCCCAAGAGUCCAUAUCGACGGGAUGGUUUGGCACCUCGAUGUCGGCUCGUCGCAUCCUGGGGCUGGAGUCGGUCCCAAGGGUUGGGCUGUUCGCCCAUUAAAGCGGUACGCGAGCUGGGUUUAGAACGUCGUGAGACAGUUCGGUCCCUAUCCGCUGUGCGCGUAGGAAUAUUGAGAAGGGCUGUCCCUAGUACGAGAGGACCGGGACGGACGAACCUCUGGUGUGCCAGUUGUUCUGCCAAGGGCAUGGCUGGUUGGCUACGUUCGGGAGGGAUAACCGCUGAAAGCAUCUAAGCGGGAAGCCUGCUUCGAGAUGAGUAUUCCCACCUCCUUGAGAGGGUAAGGCUCCCAGUAGACGACUGGGUUGAUAGGCCGGAUAUGGAAGCCCUGUAAGGGGUGGAGUUGACCGGUACUAAUAGGCCGAGGGCUUGUCCUCAGUUG
rnacentral:rRNA from 1 species